ensembl:lncRNA
UUUACAAUGAACAAAAACAUACCUAGACAAAAACAACAGACAUUUAGAUACAUUUCCACAAACAUGAAUGACAUCACACUUGCUCAGACCCACAUCUUUCCACCCGUUUUUGUUUCUAAUGUUUGGAAGACAUUACUAUACUAUCAGUCAUUACUAUUCCUUGUUUUGCCAUUAUAGUUCAGAUCCAAUGGUGGUUAUUGGCGAGAGUGAAGAUGGGUUCUAUCCAAGGGAUCGGGACAAGGGGGCUGGGAGGGCAUCAGACUGGGAGGACAUCAGACUGGGAGGGCAUCAGGCUGGGAGGGCAUCAGGCUGGGAGGACAUCAGACUGGGAGGGCAUCAGACUGGGAGGGCAUCAGGCUGGGAGGGCAUCAGGCUGGGAGGACAUCAGACUAGGAAGACAUCAGACUGGGAGGACAUCAGGCUGGGAAGACAUCAAGCUGGGAGGGCAUCAGGCUGGGAGGGCAUCAGGCUGGGAGGGCAUCAGACUGGGAGGGCAUCAGACUGGGAGGGCAUCAGGCUGGGAGGACAUCAGACUGGGAGGACAUCAGACUGGGAGGACAUCAGACUGGGAGGACAUCAGACUGGGAGGGCAUCAGGCUGGGAGGACAUCAGACUGGGAGGACAUCAGACUGGGAGGACAUCAGACACUUCCCUGAAACAUGUGUGGUACGUCCACUCAUCUCACUUCGGCCUUUCGUUUGACCCACUCUGAGUCAAGUUAGAGCCCACCAGCCACAAUACUUUCAGCCCACCAGCCACUAUACUUUCAGCCCACCAGCCACUAUACUUUCAUUUGAAACUGACCACAGUAUUUAAGUGGCACUUUCGCCAAUGUAUUUACAAUGACAGACUGUAAUCGAUAUUAGGGGAGGAGCAGGAGCAUAAAUGUAUUUACAAUGACAGACUGUAAUCGCCAAUGUAUUUACAAUGACAGACUGUAAUCG